rnacentral:rRNA from 1 species
AUUUUGGACAAUGGGGGCAACCCUGAUCCAGCUAUGCCGCGUGUGUGAAGAAGGUNUUNNGAUUGNANAGCACUGUAAGUUGGNNNNNAGGGCGUUAGGUUAAUACCCUGAAGUUUUGACGUUAGCAACAGAAUAAGAACCGGCUAACUCUGUUCCAGCAGCCGCGGUAAUACAGAGGGUGCAAGCGUUAAUCGGAAUUAAUGGGCGUAAAGCGCGCGACGGUGGUUCAGUAAGAUGGGAGUGAACUCCCCGGGCUUAACCUGGGAACUGCUUUCAUAACUGCUGAGCUAGAGUACGGUAGAGGGUAGUGGAAUUUCCUGUGUAGCGGUGAAAUGCGUAGAUAUAGGAAGGAACCACAGUGGCGAAGGCGACUACCUGGACUGAUACGGACACUGAGGUGCGAAAGCGUGGGGAGCAAACA